rnacentral:lncRNA from 1 species
UGAAAACCCUUACUGCUACAGAGUCUGCCACUCGUGAGGAGCCAAAAACAGCCCAUGUUUCCUGACUCUAAAUGUGUGUGUAAAUGUGUGUGUGUGUGUGUGUGUGUGUCUAGAGUGGGAAGGGGGUUCAUGCUGCACUCCUCAGAGAGUGGACCUGAGGUUGAGGCAUUCAGAAGGAGGAAUGCACUCGCCUCUCACACGGUAGGAUCAGAUGCCUCAGAACGAAAAUGAAGAGCAAUGCUGUCUUCAGUUCCCAGUUGUGCCUUUAAAGCAUCCCUUGAACAUAAACCAGUUGACAGAUGGCAUUUCCCAGGCAAGGGUCGAGUCCUACUGGCACGUUCCUGAUCCCAUUCGCAGACACAGAGGCCACCUUCAUAUGGACUUCAUUGUCCAGAUAGAGGUGUAAUGUCUCAGUUAUGCAUCUAAGUCAAACAAUAGCACCUCUAACUCAGUGUGGGCCUGCUGGAGACCCCUUGUCCCCCACCAGGGUCAAGCUCACUGUCUCUAAACGUUUGGGUGGGCUGAGGGACCUGCCGUGGAGGAACUUUUGUUUGGGCUUGGAGAACAGCUGAGGAGAUUGUGCUUCGAGUGGCAGCCGUUUAUUGUUGUUAGAAAUGGAGAAGGCUGAAGCUGGUUGGUAGCAAAGCAGCACAGAGGAGCCUCUGGAACACAUUACACUUCUGUCACUCCGCCUCGCUAAAAACACAGACGUACACAGGCUCUCACGGCAAACAGCUCUUUGUCUGUUCUCUAUUAACUCCACACUGGCAUCUCACAGACAUUGGCUGAAGGCUCAAGUGUUAAUUUUGGUGUAAUAGUCCAAACGUAUCGGCCAUUUAAUUAAAUAAGGCCCGGGUUGGAAACCUGACCACUGCCUCACAUAUACUGCAAUCAUCACUUCAUAACAGUCAGACCACAAAUUGAACCAAACAAAAGGGUUUGGGAACAGAAAGGCACGUGAAACAAGUUGAAAACAACAUUUAAGAGGUGCAGCCGUGUCUGAGUGCAAGGAGAGCCAACAGCAUGGUGAUUAUGUUGAACUGAAGCCAAACCAUCCAUAGUCCUGAUUGUGUGAUUGGAAAAUAGGCCUGUAAAAUAAGGCCUCAGUCAAAUGUUGUUGACCGAAACUCACCAAUAACAGUAGCAGAAAAUCCAAAGAGAAAGAAAUUGAUAUCCCUUAUAAAAUUAAAAAAGUAACAUGAAGAGUAUUGCAGCAUGCCUCACAUUGUUUUUGUCUAGCAUUUUUUUUAUUCUUCUACAUUGUGGAAAGGUCAGGAGUGCAGUCAGUAGAGUCAAGUACAUGUGUUCUCUUCUUCCACAGCCAUACCUUUGUAAUAUUUGCAGCACAUGCUUCAUUCAGUA